rnacentral:lncRNA from 1 species
CUGGACAUCUGAUAAUCUCAAAGGCCUCACCUCCUCAUACCACCACUUGGGGGGUUGGGAUUUCAACAUAAAUAUGGGGUGUACGUAAACAGUCCAUUGCCAUGAAAGUGUUUUUGGUGGGAAAUCCCAACAGUCUCCUGGUGGCCCGUCUUCUCUUCCUGCCAACACGGGGUGCUGUCACCAUCUUGCCUGGGGUUGGGGUUGAUUUGCCUGCUGAACGGUGCCCAGUGCCUGUCUGCAUCAUCUUUUGUGAUGUGUCUGUCCGUGUUUUUUGCUCAUUUUUAAGGUGGGUUGUCUUUCUUGCUUUUUGUGCUAGGGAUUGAACUCGGAGCUCCAGCCCUGAGUGGCGCCAGGCCUUUCUAUAUUUUGUUUUGAGACAGGGUCUCCCUACGUUGCUGAGGCUGGCCUUGAACUUGUGCUCCUCCUACCUCAAACUCCUAAGUAGCUGGGAUUACAGGUGUCCUCCACUAUACUUGGACAGAUUUUUAAAAAACUUUUUUUUAUUAAACCUAAUUUAUUGGAGUCUUCUAUUUAUGUAUUUAUAUGCAGUGCUGAGAAGCAAACCCAGUGUCUCACACAUGCCAGGCCAGCGCUCCACCACUGAGCUGUGAGCCCAGCCCUAUCAGAAUCUUUUCUAGCUAAUUAAUGAUUUUUAAGUUUUAAGAAAUAUUUGCUGCUGGGUGUAGUGACCCACACCUGUAAUCCCAGUAACUCUGGAGCUGAGGCAGGAGAAUCUCAAAUUCAAGGCCAGCCUCGGCAAUUUAGUGAAAUCCUGUUUAAAAAAAAAAAAAAGGGCUGGGGUAUAGCUCAGUAAUACAGCACCCCAGGUUUCAUUUCUAGGCUGAAAAACAAAUAAAAAAUGUUUGCCUGCUUAAGGCCAUUGCUGUUUUCUUAUGUGGCUGAGUGUGGAACUUUGACCAUUUGGGCUUUUGCAGUUAGGUCCACGACCCUCCUGGAGCUCAUUUCCAUUCUCAGUGUGUGCUCAGGCUCUCAGCCACGUGGGCAGCUGCUGUGUCUGCACUGUGUGUUGGGAGACUUCUUUCCCAUGUAGUGAGCUUCUCUAUCUUUGGAAAGCUUUAGCGUCAUGUGCGAGUGGCUGCUGCUUUAUCUCAAUGUGGUACUUGAUUCACGUAGUUUUAUGACAGGUAUUAGAAGUUGUUCAUUUUUAUUUUUUUCCAAGAUUGUUUUGACUGUUCUAGGUGCUUUGCAUUUUCCUACAAAAUUCAGUGUCAAUUUGUCAAAUCCUGUGUUGUGUAGAUCAGUGUAGGGAUAAUCAGCAUUUUAACAACCCUAACUUUUGUGGCUCUUGAACUCUGCAUACCAAAGUUCUUCCAUUUUGUCCCUCCCAUACUGCAGACCGAGCCCAGGAGCACUCUGCCACUGAGCUAUGUCUCCAGCACUUUGUGAUUUUUGAGACAGUGUCUCGCUGAGUUGCUGAGGCUGUCCUCUUUGAUCCUCCUGCCUCAGCCUCCCAAGUCACUGGGAUUACAGGUGUGCACCACGGUGCCCAGCUCAGUUCUUUUAAGUCUGAGGCUUCUAUUGUGGCAAGGAACAUGGUUUGCCUUUGAGGGCGUAUGCCUUCUGCCGUUGUUUGCCUGUUGGUGUUUGUGAAUGUUGAUCAGGUCAAGCUGUUUGCUAGUCUAAUUCAAGUUUCCUUCGUCCUUUCUGGUUUUCUUCCCCGCUAACCAUUUGCUUUACUUGGCACUUCUCCCAGUAAUGUACUCAGAGUUGGAUUCAUGAGUUAUAAUUCCGUUUUGUCAGCUCUGGUUUUGGGUGUGUAAACUUUUGGAAUCAUGAUUUCCUUCUUUUCAUUUCCUCCCACUUCAGGAUUGUGUCCAUUUGUCCAUCCGGGUGCUGUACCACUGAGCCACAUCCCUAACCCUUUUAAGUUUUUAUUUUGAGACAUGGUCUCAAUAAGUUCUGAGAUAGGCCUUAAAUUUCUGAUAUUUCUGUCAGAAGAGCCUCCAGAGUCUCUGGGAUUAUACAUCUGGCAGAAUUGUUUUCUUGAUGACCUUUUUCUCUCUCAAAGUCUUCCUCUCAGCCACUGGGUGUGGUGAUGCACCAUGUAAUCCUUGGGAGGUGGGGACAGGAGGAUUGCAAGUUCAAGGCCAGCCUCAGGAUUUAGCAAAAUCCUAGGAAACUUAGUGAUACACUAUCUCAAAAAAGGAGUGGGGGUGUGGCUCAGUGGUCAAGAACCUCUGGGUUCAACCGCUGUUGCAGAAAAAAAGGAAGAACAAGAUUCCCUCUCAGCUGACGUGGUGUACACCAGUGAUCCCAGCUACUCAGGAGGCUCAGGUGGGUAGAGCGCCCGUCAAAUGGAACCCAAUGAAAUUUGAAUUUCAGGGGCUGGGGUGGUGGCUCAGUGGCAGAGCACUUGCCUAGCAUAUGUGAGGCACUGGGUUCGAUCCUCAGCACCACAUUAAAAAGAAAAAAAAUUGAAUUUCAGGUUAAAAAAACAAAAACCCCUUCAGUUUUCCUACAAGUCUGUGCUACGCAGACGGCGACCACCAGUCCACCAGGUCUCUCUCCUCAGCUUCCUGCUCACUGCCAGUGGCAGAAACUGCUAACCUGCUAAACUGCUAAACUGGGCAGAAUCCAGGAGUUUGAGGCCAGCCUGGACAAUGCAGAAAGACCCUGUCAUAAAACAACAAACAGAAGAGUGACCCUGAGGCUCAGGGGCUUUCAUGAGUCCAUUUCUCACAGGGCGGGGUGGGGGGAGGUUGUCCUGGGCAAGUCCGCACCACUCACUGCCUUUCUCAGCCUGUGGGAAGACGGGCGUGUGGCCUGGAGGACACGACACUCCUGCUGUCAUCCCCUUGAAACCAAG